rnacentral:rRNA from 1 species
UUUAAUUUUUUUUUGUUUUGGGAUGAGGUUGCUAAUUUAAUGUGUUUAGAAGAGGAUUAGAUACCCUUUUAUAAAUUUUUUGGAGGUAGUAAGCUUUUAUAGUGAAACUUAUUUGAGAUGGCGGUUGAAAGGUUUUACAGAGGGGCUUGAUUUUUAAUAGAUGAUCCUCUUUUUAUUUGUUCCUUUUUUUUAUUUUGUUUAUUUUUGUAAUACUGAUGUUUGGAGAUGAGUUGGUUGGUAAAUUUUAUUUGUUAUUGCAAAUCAAUAUUUAGAUUAUAGGAAGGAUGAGUUUAGCCACUUUGGUUUUGUUUAGUUUUUAUUUUAGUAUUUGUUAGUAAAUUUUUAGUUUAUAUUUAUUUUGAAUUUUUAACUUUCGAUGUACAUAUCGCCCGUCGCUUUUAUUUGUUAAAAUAAGUCGUAACAAAGUAG